ensembl:lncRNA
GAGGAGCGUCUCGCUGCAGCCUGCGGUGGACAUCCAACCCGGCCCACAUCCAAGUGUGACGUCACAGACCACGCCCAUGUCAAAAUACGUCACAUUCUCAUUCAUUUUGAAACAGGAAGAAGCAUCGAAAAGAAGAUAAUUUGUAUUGUUUGCCAACCGCUAAAAAAGAAGCUGUUGUUUGUCGUGUCGGUAAGUAAAAAAAAAAAAAGAUCUUUGGUCUACCAAACGUUGACAACUUUAAGAACGUGUGCGUCAUUUGUGUGCAUGUGCAUAAACAACACAUUCUACACAUUUUCAGUCCAAGCCUGAUGCAGGGCAGUUCUCCCAGGUUAAGGGGUCCCUGCUGCAGUUUCACCAGUAAAGAAAAUUACUUGUUACAAUUCACUCGAAGGACCACAUUAGCCAUGCAGUGGUGCAUGGAGGAGCGCCAAGAGGACAUAAAGUGGAAGUUUGUAAGGGACAUUGGUCCAGCGUGGUACAGAGUCAUCGUGGGUUAUUCUGUGGAGAGGUGACAGGGCCUGCCUUUCUCCAGAUGGACAGUAAAAAUCAACAGAAUGCCAUCAAAGACUACCUGGAGGGAGAAUCGCAGGAUAUAUUAAAGCAAGGAAUCUCUCUGUGUAGUCUAUGUAUGUAUGUGUGUGUACUGCAUGUCAAGAACUGUUUAUCUGCUCAUUCAGCUGCUCAGACUUUAUAAUAUUUGGAGCUUAUCUUUUGUUAAACACAACCAGUCAAAAGUUUUUGAACAGUGAGAUUUUUUAAUGUUUUUAAAGAAAUAUCUUCUGCUCAUCAAGCCUGCAUUUAUUUAAUCCGAAGUACAGCA